rnacentral:rRNA from 1 species
GAUGAACGCUGACAGAAUGCUUAACACAUGCAAGUCAACUUGAACUUCGGUUUGGGUGGCGGACGGGUGAGUCACGCGUAAAGAACUUGCCUCACAGUUAGGGACAACAUUUGGAAACGAAUGCUAAUACCUGAUAUUAUGAUUUUAGGGCAUCCUAGAAUUAUGAAAGCUAUAUGCGCUGUGAGAGAGCUUUGCGUCCCAUUAGCUAGUUGGAGAGGUAACGGCUCACCAAGGCGAUGAUGGGUAGCCGGCCUGAGAGGGUGAACGGCCACAAGGGGACUGGGACACGGCCCUUACUCCUACGGGAGGCAGCAGUGGGGAAUAUUGGACAAUGGACCAAGAGUCUGAUCCAGCAAUUCUGUGUGCACGAUGAAGUUUUUCGGAAUGUAAAGUGCUUUCAGUUGGGAAGAAAAAAAUGACGAUACCAACAGAAGAAGUGACGGCUAAAUACGUG